GGGGGCGUGGUGUAGUGGUCUAACAUGCGGCCCUGUCAAGGCCGAGAUCGCGGGUUCAACUCCCGUCGUCCCCGCCA
rnacentral:tRNA from 1 species